UACGUAGGGUGCAAGCGUUGUUCGGAAUUAUUGGGCGUAAAGGGCGCGUAGGCGGUUUGUUAAGUCAGUUGUGAAAGACCCGGGGCUCAACCCCGGAGGUGACUGAUACUGGCAGACUAGAGGUACGGAAGAGGUAGGCUGGAAUUCCGGAUGUAGCGGUGAAAUGACGCAGAGUAUCAGGAGGAACACCGGUGGCGAAGGCGGGUCUCUGGGCCGUAACUGACGCUGGAGGAGCGAAAGCGUGGGGAGCGAACAGG
rnacentral:rRNA from 1 species